rnacentral:rRNA from 1 species
ACUACGGGUGGCAGCAGUGGGGAAUAUUGGGCAAUGGGCGCAAGCCUGACCCAGCAACGCAGCGUGAAGGAAGAAGGCUUUCGGGUUGUAAACUUCUUUUCUCAGGGACGAAGCAAGUGACGGUACCUGAGGAAUAAGCCACGGCUAACUACGUGCCAGCAGCCGCGGUAAUACGUAGGUGGCAAGCGUUAUCCGGAUUUACUGGGUGUAAAGGGCGUGUAGGCGGGAAAGCAAGUCAGAUGUGAAAACCAGGGGCUCAACCUGUGGCCUGCAUUUGAAACUGUUUUUCUUGAGUACUGGAGAGGCAGACGGAAUUCCUAGUGUAGCGGUGAAAUGCGUAGAUAUUAGGAGGAACACCAGUGGCGAAGGCGGUCUGCUGGACAGCAACUGACGCUGAGGCGCGAAAGCGUGGGGAUCAAACAGGAUUAGAUACCCUUGUAGUC